rnacentral:rRNA from 1 species
GACUGUGCAAAGGUAGCAUAAUCAAUUGGCUUAUAAUUAAGGUCUGGUAUGAACGAAUAAUUGGGUAGUAACUGUCUUAAUGUAUUUUUAUAAAUUUAGUAAGCAAGUGAAAAUACUUGCUCAGUUAUAAAAGACGAGAAGACCCUAGAAACUUAUAUGUGUUUUUGUUGGGGCGACAGGAUUACAAUUAACUAAUCUUAUUUUACAAGACGUAUAACAGGAAGAUUAAGUUACUCUAGGGAUAACAGCAUAAUUUUAAUAGCUUGUGACCUCGAUGUUGGACUAGGUACAGAACUCC